UACGAAGGGGGCUAGCGUUGUUCGGAUUUACUGGGCGUAAAGCGCACGUAGGCGGAUCUUUAAGUCAGAGGUGAAAUCCCAAGGCUCAACCUUGGAACUGCCUUUGAUACUGGGGAUCUCGAGUUCGGGAGAGGUGAGUGGAACUGCGAGUGUAGAGGUGAAAUUCGUAGAUAUUCGCAAGAACACCAGUGGCGAAGGCGGCUCACUGGCCCGAUACUGACGCUGAGGUGCGAAAGCGUGGGGAGCAAACAGGAUUAGAAACCC
rnacentral:rRNA from 1 species